rfam:Canis lupus familiaris chromosome 27, whole genome shotgun sequence.
GAAUUAUGAUUCAUUGCUUUAUGGGAGUCUGGCAAGAUACACAGAAAUCUCCCUCUCAGUUUAGGGGGAUUGUCCUAUGAAUAGGGCUUACUCUCAGAGAGGACAAU